UUCGGGGGUAAACGGACAGAGCCCGUGAAUCCGGGCGGCAGAAUUCAAAAUCGACGAUUCGCGUCGUCGGUUUGAUAUUUCUGUCGCCGUUGUGUAUGUUCACAUAUACUACGGACGUCGCGACCCGUUUGGUGUCGGUCUUAGGAGGCGCGCUAAAGUUCGUUGACGCGUCGACGAAAACCGUCUAGGCGGAGGUAGUCGCGCGUCUCGAGUACGCGCUAAUUAAUUCCUGGCUGACUCGCCAGACGGUAAGCGUAGUGGUGUCCGCGGCGAUCGUUUCGGCGUCGUCCGCGGUACCGGUCUGCGACGAAUCUUCGGGCCUCUUUCCGA
rnacentral:rRNA from 1 species